AGAGUUUGAUCCUGGCUCAGGAUGAACGCUAGCUACAGGCUUAACACAUGCAAGUCGAGGGGAAACGACAUCGAAAGCUUGCUUUUGAUGGGCGUCGACCGGCGCACGGGUGAGUAACGCGUAUCCAACCUGCCCAUCACUUGGGGAUAACCUUGCGAAAGUAAGACUAAUACCCAAUGAUAUCUCUAGAAGGCAUCUGAAAGAGAUUAAAGAUUUAUCGGUGAUGGAUGGGGAUGCGUCUGAUUAGCUUGUUGGCGGGGUAACGGCCACAAGCAACGNUCAGUAGGGGUUCUGAGAGGAAGGUCCCCCACAUUGGAACUGAGACACGGUCCAAACUCCUACGGGAGCA
rnacentral:rRNA from 1 species